GUCGAACGAUGAAGCUUCUAGCUUGCUAGAAGUGGAUUAGUGGCGCACGGGUGAGUAAGGUAUAGUUAAUCUGCCCUACACAAGAGGACAACAGUUGGAAACGACUGCUAAUACUCUAUACUCCUGCUUAACACAAGUUGAGUAGGGAAAGUUUUUCGGUGUAGGAUGAGACUAUAUAGUAUCAGCUAGUUGGUAAGGUAAUGGCUUACCAAGGCUAUGACGCUUAACUGGUCUGAGAGGAUGAUCAGUCACACUGGAACUGAGACACGGUCCAGACUCCUACGGGAGGCAGCAGUAGGGAAUAUUGCGCAAUGGGGGAAACCCUGACGCAGCAACGCCGCGUGGAGGAUGACACUUUUCGGAGCGUAAACUCCUUUUCUUAGGGAAGAAUUCUGACGGUACCUAAGGAAUAAGCACCGGCUAACUCCGUGCCAGCAGCCGCGGUAAUACGGAGGGUGCAAGCGUUACUCGGAAUCACUGGGCGUAAAGGGCGCGUAGGCGGAUUAUCAAGUCUCUUGUGAAAUCUAAUGGCUUAACCAUUAAACUGCUUGGGAAACUGAUAGUCUAGAGUGAGGGAGAGGCAGAUGGAAUUGGUGGUGUAGGGGUAAAAUCCGUAGAUAUCACCAAGAAUACCCAUUGCGAAGGCGAUCUGCUGGAACUCAACUGACGCUAAGGCGCGAAAGCGUGGGGAGCAAACAGGAUUAGAUACCCUGGUAGUCCACGCCCUAAACGAUGUACACUAGUUGUUGGGGUGCUAGUCAUCUCAGUAAUGCAGCUAACGCAUUAAGUGUACCGCCUGGGGAGUACGGUCGCAAGAUUAAAACUCAAAGGAAUAGACGGGGACCCGCACAAGCGGUGGAGCAUGUGGUUUAAUUCGAGGAUACGCGAAGAACCUUACCUGGGCUUGAUAUCCUAAGAACCUUAUAGAGAUAUGAGGGUGCUAGCUUGCUAGAACUUAGAGACAGGUGCUGCACGGCUGUCGUCAGCUCGUGUCGUGAGAUGUUGGGUUAAGUCCCGCAACGAGCGCAACCCACGUAUUUAGUUGCUAACGGUUCGGCCGAGCACUCUAAAUAGACUGCCUUCGUAAGGAGGAGGAAGGUGUGGACGACGUCAAGUCAUCAUGGCCCUUAUGCCCAGGGCGACACACGUGCUACAAUGGCAUAUACAAUGAGACGCAAUACCGCGAGGUGGAGCAAAUCUAUAAAAUAUGUCCCAGUUCGGAUUGUUCUCUGCAACUCGAGAGCAUGAAGCCGGAAUCGCUAGUAAUCGUAGAUCAGCCAUGCUACGGUGAAUACGUUCCCGGGUCUUGUACUCACCGCCCGUCACACCAUGGGAGUUGAUUUCACUCGAAGCCGGAAUACUAA
rnacentral:rRNA from 1 species